GAAAUGCGAUACGUAAUGUGAAUUGCAGAAUUCAGUGAAUCAUCGAAUCUUUGAACGCAUAUUGCGCUCUCUGGUAUUCCGGAGAGCAUGCUUGUUUGAGUAUCAGUAAACACCUCAAAUCCCCACUUCUUUUUUUGAAGAGGGAAUUGGACUUGAGCAAUCCCAACACUCUUUGCGAGUGGCGGGUUGCUUGAAAUGCAGGUGCAGCUGGACUUUACUCUGAGCUAAAAGCAUAAUUAUUUAAUCCAGUAAAAUGGAUUAUUACUUUUGCUGCAGCUAACAUAAAGGAGAAUCGUUCUUGUGCUGACUGAUGCAGGAUUUAACAGGUUUCGCCCUUUGGGCAAAAUUUGUAAACUCGAUCUCAAAUCAAGUAAGACUACCCGCUGAACUUAA
rnacentral:misc_RNA from 1 species